UACCUGCAGCUCGAGUGGUAACCGCUAUUAUUGGGCCUAAAGCGUCCGUAGCCGGUUUGGUAAAUAUCUGGGUAAAUCGUGAGGCUUAACUUCACGAAUUUCGGAUAGACUGCCAGACUUGGGAUCGGGGGAGGUCAGAGGUACUCCAGGGGUAGCGGUGAAAUGUUGUAAUCCUUGGAGGACCACCGGUAGCGAAGGCGUCUGACUAGAACGAGUCCGACGGUGAGGGACGAAGCCCUGGGGCGCAAACCGGAUUAGAUACCCGGGUAGUCCAGGGUGUAAACAAUGUGGGCUUUGUAUUGAGGUCCCACGUGGGCGUCCAGUGCAGAAGAGAAGUUGUUAAGCCCACCGCCUGGGAAGUACGGUCGCAAGGCUGAAACUUAAAGGAAUUAGGCGGGGAGCACAGCAACGGGAGGAGGCGUGCGGUU
rnacentral:rRNA from 1 species